rnacentral:sRNA from 1 species
CGCGAUGGUGAGGCACCAGGGGCUAAGCCAGGCUUGGGCUGCUGGAGCGGGAAUGAGGGGGCGCCAGUGGCUCCGGAAACUGGGGGAGGUUGUACUGGCCUCUCCGCAAACACAGUGUGUGCGGCGUGAGGGCUGCGGGUCUGGUAGGGAAAAGUCCACCGCUCUCCCGCUCCCGAGACGGAGAGGGGCGGGGGUAGGGGGCGGGUAAGACAGCGCAGGCCGGCCGGCUUAGAGUCCCGGUGCUUCCCUGGCAGAAGGAAGGGCCCCUGCCUCCCGGGGCAGACUAGGGCUUGUCUGGAGCUGGGAGUCCUUUCAGGUCUUCCCCAUCCCCAAGAGGACCUCCCAAGGAUACCCCCUUCCCCAGCCCUGCUGUGGGGGUUUGUUCAAGAAGAGGUUCCGGUUCUGUGGUGAUCUGGACUGUCCCGACUGGGUCUUGGCAGAAAUCAGCACGCUGGCCAAGAUGUCCUCUGUGAAGUUGCGGCU